CAAUAGCGUAUAUUAAAGUUGUUGCAGUUAAAAAGCUCGUAGUUGGACUUCUGGGCUUGUGUUGUGGUCCGCCUCACGGUGAGCACUGCGACAUGGGUCCUUCUUCUUGAAGACUGUGCGUGUCCUUAACUGGUUGUGUACAGGAUUUGAGACCUUUACUUUGAAAAAAUUAGAGUGUUCAAGGCAGGCUCGCGCUGUGAAUACAUUAGCAUGGAAUAAUAAUCUAGGACUUUGUUCCUAUUUUGUUGGUUUCUAGGAAUUAAGUAAUGAUUGAUAGGGAUAGUUGGGGGUGCUAGUAUUCAGCGGCCAGAGGUGAAAUUCUUGGAUUCGCUGAAGACUAACUUAUGCGAAAGCAUUCACCAAGGAUGUCUUCUUUAAUCAAGAACGAAAGUUGGGGGAUCGAAGAUGAUCAGAUACCGU
rnacentral:rRNA from 1 species